UUGGAGGGCAAGUCUGGUGCCAGCAGCCGCGGUAAUUCCAGCUCCAAUAGCGUAUAUUAAAGUUGUUGCAGUUAAAAAGCUCGUAGUUGAACCUCGGGAUCAAUGGGUCGGUCAUGCCCUCGGUAUGUACUGGCCUCAUUGGUUCUCACCUUCUAAGGAACCUUAAUGUCAUUAAUUUGAUGUUUUGGGGAAUUAGGACUGUUACCUUGAAAAAAUUAGAGUGUUUAAAGCAGGCUCACGCUUGAAUACAUUAGCAUGGAAUAAUGAAAUAGGACGGACUGAUUCUAUUUCGUUGGUUUCUAGGAUCACCGUAAUGAUUAAUAGGGAUAGUUGGGGGCAUUAGUAUACAAUUGUCAGAGGUGAAAUUCUUGGAUUUAUUGAAGACUAACUACUGCGAAAGCAUUUGUCAAGGAUGUUUUCAUUAAUCAAGAACGAAAGUUAGGGGAUCGAAGACGAUCAGAUACCGUCGUAGUCUUAACCAUAAACUAUGCCGACUAGGGAUCGGAUGAUGUUAAUUUUUUAAUGACUCAUUCGGCGCCUUACGGGAAAC
rnacentral:rRNA from 1 species